rnacentral:rRNA from 1 species
CGACCGGCGCACGGGUGCGUAACGCGUAUGCAACCUACCUUUAGCAGGGGGAUAACACUGAGAAAUUGGUACUAAUACCCCAUAAUAUCAUAGAAGGCAUCUUUUAUGGUUGAAAAUUCCGAUGGUUAGAGAUGGGCAUGCGUUGUAUUAGCUAGUUGGUGGGGUAACGGCUCACCAAGGCGACGAUACAUAGGGGGACUGAGAGGUUAACCCCCCACACUGGUACUGAGACACGGACCAA